CUACGUGCCAGCAGCCGCGGUAAUACGGAAGGUCCGGGCGUUAUCCGGAUUUAUUGGGUUUAAAGGGAGCGUAGGCUGGAGAUUAAGUGUGUUGUGAAAUGUAGACGCUCAACGUCUGACUUGCAGCGCAUACUGGUUUCCUUGAGUAUGCACAACGUAGGCGGAAUUCGUCGUGUAGCGGUGAAAUGCUUAGAUAUGACGAAGAACUCCGAUUGCGAAGGCAGCUUACGGGAGCACAACUGACGCUGAAGCUCGAAGGUGCGGGUAUCAAACAGGAUUAGAUACCCUGGUAGUCCGCACAGUAAACGAUGGAUGCCCGCUGUUGGUACCUGGUAUCAGCGGCUAAGCGAAAGCAUUAAGCAUCCCACCUGGGGAGUACGCCGGCAACGGUGAAACUCAAAGGAAUUGACGGGGGCCCGCACAAGCGGAGGAACAUGUGGUUUAAUUCGAUGAUACGCGAGGAACCUUACCCGGGCUUGAAUUGCAGAGGAAGGAUUUAGAGAUA
rnacentral:rRNA from 1 species